UUAAAAAAAAAAACUUAUAACAAGUAUUGUAAGGACUGAGAUUUUUGCAGUGUAGCUAAACUCUCAGUUGACGAUAUUUUUGUGUGUAAUUUAAUUACAAAAGCACUCGUCAAGUUUCGGGCGAAAUCGAGUUAAAACGGAAAUUCUACGCGAUUUCCAAGUUUCACUUAAAGUGAAUAGUAACUCGAUUUUCCGGAGAAGCCGCGGUGAGAAGUUGGCUUCUGGCUCGUACCGGACUCUGUUCAUAGCAGUCCAAUAGCUCGUUUCGACCGGUUCAGCUGUUCUGGAACUAAUGGCGCUGACGGAUUUUGAGUUCGACGCACGGAUUUCGAGAAAAUCUAAAAAUACAUGUUUUAUAUGUAUUUAUGUGUGUGUUUUCUUCUAUUCGAAGAAGGUUGGAUUUUGUCGUGAAUCCGUGGUCGAUCUAGACGAAACGAAAUCGUAGCUUUGUUGUCUCCGUCGUGCUGAUCGCACUGGUGCAAUCCGUUCGCAAAUCUGACGGACGGAUCUGCGGAGAUCGCGCGUUGAUCGAGGAGAGAUCGGUGUUAGCAAAACGGUAUUUUCGCGAAAGUCGCGAUAUUUUAUGUACCGUUUCGCUUGGGAUCGCACGUGGAGGGGUGU
rnacentral:lncRNA from 1 species